UACAGAUUUAUCUAGAAAGGUACAGAAUUUUUUCAUAUUUUUGGUACAGAUUCUGUACGGUACAGAUUACAGAAUUUUCUGAAAAAGUACAGAUUUGUACAGAUUUUUUUACACGACAGCAGCGUUGCGUUCCAGUAAACAGUGUGCAAAUAUUGGGUUUGGUUGCUAAGGGAAUGGCGGCAAAAAGCUGAGCUGGAUGUGGAUCUGAUACUGUCAGGAUACGAGAAGCCUGCUAGUUUGGUUUCUCGCACCUCGUCACAAUGUCAGUACCUACAUUAUUUUUACACUAAACGGCAUGUUACGGCGGGUGCGAGGCAAGCCGCUUUUCAAUAGCAUACCGCUCGCCAGAAUCUAUUUAAAUCAGCCUAUUCGUCUUUUCGUUUACUGGGUAUCAUAACCAUCAACUUCAGUUCAGUCACAGGCGGCGCCACUCGAUUAACAGCAUUUUCUGACAAGACACAUCUGUUGCGGUUGUCAACAUCAGAACUGUUUUCAAUCUUAUCUUGUGUUUCGGCUUUACACGUUUUAUUUUGUUUUAUUCUAGUUACACAUUUAUUAAAAACACAGGUUUGGUAAAACAUAUCUCCGAUUUAGCAAAAUUUAAGGUGAUCUUGGACCCAUGCUCAACGAGGACAGCUUUAUGCUUAAACCCUCGUCAUGAAUUGCAGAAGUCGAUCAACGGAACACACUAUAUUUGCAAUCCAUUACGAAGUGCAGGUGGUAGUACCGAGAUCGAGUACAACAAAUACUGAUAUUGCAGUUUAUAUACGCUUCCAGUUGCAACCGUUUAGGCCGAAGGAUUUUUAGUUUUUUUAUUAGAAUAUUUGCUGCACCAGAUAAGUUUGAACCGUUGCGGUUACAUUGACCGCUGAGCAUCACCCAAUGAGCUGUCUAUUGCGCAUAUUUGCUUAAAUUUAUUGGAAUUGAUGGGUCUUGUUUUUCUCAAGAGCUACUAUCUGGUAGAUCGCCAGAAACACGAAAAUCGCUUGGACAUGUCGUCGAACAGCUACUGAAUAAAAAGAUGUUUUUUGUGAUACCCUUCCAUGACUAAAUUUUUUAUGAAGAGCAGAGGAAUAUAUCCCACCCAGCGUAUUUUGCUUAUAGUAUGGCUUUACUAUUGAUUGUGUGAAGCUAUUUUGAAAAUAUUGAUCCUGUAGAAUUCAAAUUGGAAUGAUGUAUUGAUGCUGCCUUGUUAAUAUAUUUAUAGACAAUAUUCCGGUCUAGUGUAGGGUUCGCUUAUCACAGCGUAUUUUGCUUGACUACUCGCCUUACGCGAUCAUUAAAAGUGACAUUACUUCUCAGUAAUGACAUUACUAACGCAUCGUGUGAGGGUCCCAACCAGGUAAAGUUCAACCGAAAAAUGAACAGGAAUUCUGGCUGGUUCUAGUUAGUACUCCGGCUCCAGUGACAACCGAUUCUAGCUAGAAUCUGUUGUGUCACUGGAGUCGGUAUACUAACUAGAACCAGCCAGAUUUCCGGCUGAACUUUACUUGGUAAUAGCCCACCGCUCGCCGGCUUCUAGUUGAAACAGCCUAGUCGUCGUUUCGUUGACUGGGUUUUCUCGAUUGAAAGUAUUUUCGAGAGAGUCUAUGAACAAAGAGUGGCGAACAGAUGAGAUGUAUCUACAACUUUCGAAAAUAUAACAAUUACUCCAUUAGUUAUUGAGUAGCGUAACGUAUCGUAAAAUAUUAAAUGGACUAAUCGAUAAACAGCUAUUAGUAUGCUUCUUACAUGCUCUUUAAGAGCAUGUUCAGGAGUGUUUCAGUUCUAGAUUCAUAAUUUUGACAGUUCUAUUAUAUAAAACUGAAAAUUUUAAAACUAGAACUUGCUGUCCCCAGCAGCAGUUCUAGCGGAUGUUCUAUUCAGUUUAAAAUUCAUGUCUCGCCAUUCCUUCAGCGUUACUGCAUUCAAUUUUUUUUCCCCAGCCUAUCGGGUCUAAGUGUAUGUGCUGAAAACUUUGCAUGUAUUUAAAACACAGUUCUAAACGUGUUUUAAAAUCAGCAACAAAUAGAACGGAGUCGUAUAACAGUUUUAAAUUUUGAAACAAAGCUGUUCGAAAUAAUAAAACAAAACGCUCUGCUGGGGAUGUGAAUGUUUCAGUUCCAGUUCUACUUUGAAACUCCUAUACAAAAUAAAACGCUCCUGAACAUGCCCUAGAGUACUUGACAAUAAUGUACAAUAGGUUCACAGAGGGCAGCAGAAAUUCAAAUAUAUAUUCAUUCAAGUAAAUAUUGGGCUUUUUUGCUGAAUGGUUGUGCAAAAGUGAAGUGAUGUCGCGCAAAACAACUUUGACUGAUUAUUUUGCCAGAAGGCAAACUGUCGAAAAAUGUAAAUUAGCUAAGAUACGUUUGUAGUGAUGUUAUUAUUAUAUUUUGAUGUUUUCUAGUCAAGAACAUUUCGAAGCCGAGUCAACAGCAUGAUGGGACAUUCGACUCUCAUGCUGAGGAAAAUGCAAAGCAAUUCGAUGCGGAGAUACUUAGUGACACAGACGCUGAUAAUGAAGAUUCUGGACCAGCUCAUAAAAAACUAAGAACUGGCACUGAAAAAAUUCAAAAAUACAAAAAUGAAUGGACUCGUGAGUCAGAAUAUCAAUGCUUUGAAAGAUACGAGAAAGAUGAUUUCUUUGCAUGGUGCAAAGUAUGCCUCGAUAAGCUUUGCAUCAAGAGAGGUGGGAAAUCAAAUUUGAAAAAGCACCUUAUUACUAAGCGUCACAUUGAGUCUGCUUCAAAAGUAGUAUUGGCAAACGAUGAUAUCACCCUGGAUGGUUUCAUGAAUUUUCAAGAUCCUGACGAAAUUAUGGCAACACAAGCAGAAUUAAAAAUUUCU